UCACAAUUAAAGUGCUUUUAGCAUGACCUCCAGGUUAUUCAUUUACAGAUCUUGAGAUCAUUUUGAGACAAAAUUCAGUUGAAUAGCAAAAGUGUAAAUACAUGUACAUGUUUGUUUAUCAAAAAGCAUUAAAAAUAUAAAUAUAUAAAAAAGAAGAUGUGGUAUGAUUGCCAAUGAGACAACUAUCCACAAAAGACCAAAAUGACACAAACAUCAACAACUAUAGGUCACCGUACGGCCUUCAACAAUGAGCAUUGAGCCCAUACCGCAUAGUCAGCUGUAAAAGGCCCCGAUAAGACAAUGUAAAACAAUUCAAACGAGAAAACUAACGGCCUUAUUUAUGUGAAAAAAUGAACGAAAAACAAAUAACACAUAAACAAACGACAACCACUGAUAUACUCACUUUUGCUGUGCUGCGACUCCCCAAAAGUAUAAAGAAUUGAAACCAACUUUGGGACGUACAUGUACAUCUAUACAGAGGGACAAGGGUAAAACGUAUUGCCCCCUCCGCUAUGGCAGAG
rnacentral:lncRNA from 1 species